AUGCAAACAAAUAUCACCAUCCUCUUUAAAACUCAAAUCGACAACAAUAUCAUCACCAAAUUCAACGAUAAACUCACUAAAAUUAACACUUUAACACCAACCACUAAACAAGAAUUCAACACAAGUUUGGCAUACACUUUAAUUGAAGACAACAUUGAACAUUACUUUUUUUUUUCCAGAGUUAUCAAAGAACAUAACAUAUCAAGCCGUUUCAUCGCGAAUUGA